AGUGAACGCUGGCGAUAGGCCUAACACAUGCAAGUCGAACGGCAGCACAGUAAGAGCCUGCUCUUACGGGUGGCGAGUGGCGGACGGGUGAGGAAUACAUCGGAAUCUACUUUUUCGUGGGGGAUAACGUAGGGAAACUUACGCUAAUACCGCAUACGACCUACGGGUGAAAGCAGGGGAUCUUCGGACCUUGCGCGAUUGAAUGAGCCGAUGUCGGAUUAGCUAGUUGGCGGGGUAAAGGCCCACCAAGGCGACGAUCCGUAGCUGGUCUGAGAGGAUGAUCAGCCACACUGGAACUGAGACACGGUCCAGACUCCUACGGGAGGCAGCAGUGGGGAAUAUUGGACAAUGGGCGCAAGCCUGAUCCAGCCAUACCGCGUGGGUGAAGAAGGCCUUCGGGUUGUAAAGCCCUUUUGUUGGGAAAGAAAAGCAGCAGGUUAAUACCCCGCUGUUCUGACGGUACCCAAAGAAUAAGCACCGGCUAACUUCGUG
rnacentral:rRNA from 1 species